UACGUAGGGUGCAAGCGUUGUCCGGAAUUAUUGGGCGUAAAGAGCUCGUAGGCGGUCUGUUGCGUCGGCUGUGAAAACCCGGGGCUCAACUCCGGGCCUGCAGCCGAUACGGGCAGACUAGAGUUCGGCAGGGGAGACUGGAAUUCCCGGUGUAGCGGUGAAAUGCGCAGAUAUCGGGAGGAACACCGGUGGCGAAGGCGGUUCUCUGGGCCUUACCUGACGCUGAGGAGCGAAAGCGUGGGGAGCAAACAGG
rnacentral:rRNA from 1 species